AAUAAUUUGAAGGUUGUGAGAAAAUAUCGUGUGUUAAUGACAUAAUUUGCCAUUAUAAAAGCCCAAUCGCUACAGAGAGCCGACAAACGAUUGUUGCUGUUUCUUGAAGUACAUCGUGAUACACUAGUAAGUAAACGUAAGUGUUUGGUCUUACAGCUUUUGAUUCAUGAACUUCCAGCAAAAGUGUUUAGUUAGAAAAGUGAUGAGCAAGAUACUAAAGGCACAUUUAAACUCAUCAGUCAAAAACAAAAAACAAACUGACAACGUCAUGGCAACAAAAAUGUUUGCUCACGUUUGUCAGUCGAAACUGUACUUGACAUGAAUGUAACAUUUUUUGUUUGUAUUGCAUUUGGAGAUCUGGUGCUGUAUUUGUAUAUAAUUGAGUGUGACACCGAUUUGUCUGUAAUUCAAUCUUUUCUAACGUUAUUUAAACAAUUCAGUGAAAAAGAACGGAUAGGGGAAAAUGGCACGAAUACAUAACCAAAUCUCCGAAAUAAUGGUGUUUUUUGUUGUUUUUACUAUAGAGGAACUCAUUAUGAAAUUGCCGUCGGUUUUGCGAUACGAGCAUGUAUGUAUGGAAUUUAAUUCGUGUAUAUACAAUAGCACAUUAUUGUUUUUACAGGCUAAACAUGAAAUUGUUCGUAGUUGCUCUCUUGGUUCUUAUAGCUUAUGUGAGUUCUCUUCCACAAAAGAAAUUCCUUCUGGAUGGUAAGCUCAUAUCUAUAAUCAAGUUAAAUUGGAAACUUACUUUUUUCUUAAUCAAAAUUGUUUGUUAAGAAAAUAACUAUUAUCAAGCCCCCUUCAAAGAUAAUUGGUCGUUCAUUAGAACCAAACAAAUCCUAGGGCACAGCACAAUGUCGAAGUAUAUAAUUUUAACUACAACAUAAAACAAAAGACAGGUAAACACAAAUGACCAAUUUGAUCCUUUUCCUGUUGAGGACAGGGCCAUUCAACAUGUCGUUGACAUAAACUAGAUUCAUAAAAUCAUAACCCUUCCAUAUAUAAGACAUGUAGACACAAAUAAAAAAUCAAUCAUAUUUUUCUCCAAUCCACUAGGGAAAACUCAACAAGUCCAGCAUGCAUUUUAAAAUAAUGUUAACCAUUGAUGCACAUUCUUCUGUCAUCAAAAAGUUGGGUCUAAUGAUUUUGUUAAACAAUUGUUGUAUUGGUCUUUUUCUUAUAUAUUUAUUUAUGCGUUUACUUACGGAAGGACAAACUUAAAGGUUGUGUUCGAUUUCUGUGCAAAAAAGUAAAAUCACAAAAAUACUGAACUCCGAGGAAAAUUCACAACAAAAAGUCAAAUGGCAAAUCAAAAGCUCAAACACAUCAAUCGAAUGUGACAAUUUACUGAAAGCAUUGAAUGAAUAAAAAUAAAUUUCACAUUUUAGUAAAUAUUAAAUACUCUUAUCAAAUAUAAUGAUAAAGAACAAUACAAUGAUGCAUUAUAAUGUCAGCUCUAAAUUAUUCCUUACUAUUUGCAGACAUAUAUCUACUUCCUGGUGACUGCGAGCAUAGUGACGCAUGUAGCCAUUGUGGAAAUAGUCACAUUCACCGCAUUCAACAUGGAGGACUUGUUAUAGAAAUCUGUUGUCGCACAUGUGGAAAGCCCAAUGCCACAGUGCAUAUUGGCUUUCCACAUUCUGCCCUUGAAUGUCAAUGCCUGUAGAGCAUCAUACACGAUAUGUCUCUUGUUUUUCUCAAUAAAACUAAUAAUGAAAAUAUAGCACAUAUAGCACCAUUUAUAACGUCUGUCUAACUAGGUAUAUACAAAAACAUAGGUCUCUUUUGGAAUCAUGUCUUUCAUCGG
rnacentral:lncRNA from 1 species